AUGACGUCCCCGGCGCCAGCGCCGCCAGCGGCCGCCGCGGCGCAGUCCCCGCCCCCGCGCAUCGGCCUCGCCGGCCUCGCCACCAUGGGCCAGAACCUCGCGCUCAACAUCGCCGAGAAGGGCUUCCCGAUCUCCGUCUACAACCGCACCGCUGCCAAGGUCGACUCCACGCUCUCCCGCGCCGCCGCCGAGGGCGCGCUCCCGGUCCUCGGCCACCGCGACCCGCGCGACUUCGUGCUCUCCCUCGCGCGCCCCCGCACCGUGGUGCUCCUCGUCCAGGCCGGCCCCGCCGUCGACGCCACCAUCGACGCCCUCUCGCCCUACCUCGACGCCGGCGACGCCAUCGUCGACGGCGGCAACGAGUGGUACCAGAACACGGAGCGCCGCAUCGAGCAGGCCGCAUCCCGGGGCAUACUCUACCUCGGCAUGGGCGUCUCCGGCGGCGAGGAGGGCGCGCGGAACGGCCCCUCGCUCAUGCCUGGCGGCGACUUCCAGGCCUACAGCAACAUCAAGGACAUCCUGGAGAAGGCCGCGGCUCAGACGGAGGACGGCCCGUGCGUCACGUUUGUCGGGCCCGGUGGUGCCGGCAACUUCGUCAAGAUGGUGCACAACGGGAUCGAGUACGGUGAUAUGCAGCUCAUCGCCGAAGCCUAUGAUGUGCUCCACCGUGUUGGUGGCCUCUCAAACUCGGAGAUAGCCGAUGUGUUUGCUGAGUGGAACAAGGGAGAGCUGGAGAGCUUCUUGGUUGAGAUUACUGCAGAUAUAUUCACAGUGGCUGAUCCACUGGAGGGGAGCACCAGUGGGGCGCUGGUUGACAAGAUUCUUGACAAGACCGGGAUGAAGGGGACCGGGAAGUGGACGGUGCAGCAGGCGGCGGAGCUUGCAGUCGCUGCACCCACCAUUGCAGCAUCACUGGAUGGGAGGUACUUGUCGGGGCUCAAGGAUGAGCGAGUUGCAGCCGCAAGUGUGCUAGAGGAAGAGGGGAUGCCAGUUGGGCUUCUGGAGAAGAUUAAUGUCGAUAAGAAGGUGCUGGUGGACAGGGUGAGGCAGGCACUUUAUUCGUCGAAGGUUUGCAGCUACGCACAGGGGAUGAAUCUGCUAAGAGCCAAGAGUGUGGAGCAGGGCUGGAAUCUUAACCUUGCCGAGCUUUCAAGGAUUUGGAAGGGUGGAUGCAUUAUUCGGGCAAGGUUUCUUGAUAGGAUUAAGAAGGCUUAUGACAGGAACCCUGAGCUGGCCAAUUUGAUUGUCGACAGGGAGUUCGCCAGGGAGAUGGUGCAGAGACAGGGCGCAUGGCGGUGGGUUGUGGCCCGGGCAGUAGAGGCCGGCAUCAGCACUCCAGGGAUGUCUGCGAGCCUUUCAUAUUUUGAUACCUACAGGUGCAACCGGUUGCCAGCGAAUCUGAUCCAAGCACAGAGGGACUUGUUUGGGGCACACACCUAUGAGCGCAUUGACCGCCCAGGUUCUUUCCACACUGAGUGGACUAAGCUGGCGAGGGAGGGCAAGUGA
rnacentral:rRNA from 1 species